GGGUGUAAGAGCAAUGUGGCUGUGAAAGCAGUCACCCCAGGACUGAUCCGGGGACUCUAGAUGGCUAGGUGGGUGCUGCCUUCCUCACCACUCUGCUUCUUCCUAAGCCGCAGUCUUGCUCCUUUGAAGAGCAUGGCCUCCCCCGUUGAGGAGGGCCAUUCCUCAGGUGCAUGAGUUGUCCAAUCACUCCUCCCCAUGCUCACAGCUCCAAACAAGCUUUCACGUUGCAUUGGAAGAGAAUGUAAGCUUCUAUGACUCCAGGAAUAUCUGAAUGAUGUGCUGCUAAUGGCAGUCAACCUUUCUUU
rnacentral:snRNA from 1 species